rnacentral:snoRNA from 19 species
GCAAAUGAUUAUAUAUUUUUAACCCUGAACUUCGGUCAUCCGGACAAUUGAAGAUCAAAAAAACGCAACAACUUACACUCUAAUUUUUUAAUGACG